AUAUCUCUCUGUACGGGAAGGAUGAGAAGCUUCGACUAAGGUUCGAUUCGAGCGCAGCGAGAAAGCGUUGCCGCAG
rnacentral:sRNA from 2 species